AACAAAAUUGAAAAACGAAACAGAGAAGGAGAAAGGAGAAAGAAAAGAAAAAAAAGGAGAAUUGGGGUUUUGAGGUUCAAACUUAAUUUGCAAUCGUUGUACCGGAAUUCUCAACUAAAAAAGGGAAAAAAUAUAGUCGACGAGGUUAAGUACUUAAGUUUGAUUGCUGAUUCAGCAUCCAACAACGAUCCCGAACUCAAAUAUAGUGAUGUUUAUUUCUUUGUAUCGGCAUGUACCUAGAGUGUCUAAAUAUUAGUUAUUUUAUGGUUUGAUUGUAAAUGAAGUUAUAAGAUCUAUUUUGGAGAGUUUAUAGUUUGGAUUAAAAUGAUGCUUUGAUGACUUGUUUUGAUGAUAUAAAAUGUUUGAGAUUUCUGUCUGUUUGAUCUGUAAUCUCCAGUAAUGCUCCGUAACCUAGUUCCGGUGAGGGAUACGGGUUGGGGGUGUUACAUUCAUGGGCUGCUAUUGAUAUAUAUGAAAAUAUCUAGGGUUGGGAUAAGAAUUUAAAUUGCAUGAAUUUCAUUUUUCAAAAGCAGGUGGAGUAUCAGAUUAAUCUAGAAUCUAGAACAGAGUCAACUUCUCAAGCCAGUACAAAAAUUCAGAACAGAGUUGCUUAUUCACCACAAUACUCUAUCGCCAAAAACAGAACUAGAAGAGAAAUUAAACC